AAUUUCCUUUUUUGAAAGCUACAUCAUUAUUGUGUGAUAGAUUGAUGUUUUCAUUUGUUUUUACUGCAAAAAAAAAAAAAAAAAAAAAACUCUAAAACGAACCAAGUCUACAAAUCUAAGCUCCUCCAUAAAGCUUUUCUCUUAGGCCUGUUGAAGGCAUGGCAAUGCUGUUGCAAGGUUUAUACAGAAUGACGGUGCUUUCUUUAAGUAUUGUCUGACAGGUCAAUUCAAAAUCUUUAUUAUGGUCUAUGAUAAAUUCUCUUUAAUUUCUGUCUUUUGUCACCUAGAUGUACUUUUCAUUUUUUCUCGUGAGAUUUAUAAUUCUUAGUUGUCAUUGUGGUGAAAAAAUGUAGAUGUUGCUACAGGGAACCAUAUCUUCAAAUAAUUAUCUGAGGACUCAUUUUCUUGGUAGGAAGAGUCUUGAGCCAUCUCGGAAGAGAAGGGGCUUUUCUUUUUUCCUUUUAACAUAACUUCUCAAUAUUCGUGAAACUGUACACGUUUAUAUGAGGCUUGAUUAUUUAAAAUGUCUUUAAUUCAUCUUUUUGUGAAUUGGUUCUUUCUUUGGGUUUUGGUUUUUCGUUGUUGUUCCGCAAUGGUGAGUUGGCCUUCUACAACCGUGGCGAUGUCAAAGAACUCCGGUUGCAAAAUGGCGUGAGAGAGAAUUAACACAGGUUCUUCAUUAUUCUCUGCAGAAUACACUUGUUUUCCAAAAAAAAAAAGGAAAAAAGAAAAGUGUUAGCUGAACCCAAGGCGGCAGCAAAAGGGUCGCCAUCUCUUUUUAUUUGGAAAAUGAAGCUGCUGACACCGGUUUUGUUAGAAAAGCAUUGACUGAUGUCAACAAUGUUCAAAGCAAUGUGGAGGAAUUUACCACGUACUAGCUUAAAACCAUUUUAAAAGCUCUCAGAAAAUGUCACAUCUCAGUUUGAAUCCGCAAAGCGAAUGAGGCCCAAAUGUCUGUUAUUCAAAUUGUUUCAUUUUGUUGUUAUGCCAUAAGUUUUGUUCUGGUUCCUUUGUUAUGCAAUUGAUAACAUACAUUGUAACAUCAGGUGCUUGAGAAAUUACAUGUUUUAGGACUCCAUGUAUUAGGUUAA